UGGGGAAUAUUGGACAAUGGGCGCAAGCCUGAUCCAGCCAUGCCGCGUGGGUGACUUGAAGGCCUUAGGGUCGUAAAGCCCUUUCGGCGGGGAAGAUAAUGACGGUACCCGCAGAAGAAGCCCCGGCUAACUUCGUGCCAGCAGCCGCGGUAAUACGAAGGGGGCUAGCGUUGCUCGGAAUCACUGGGCGUAAAGCGCACGUAGGCGGCUUUCUAAGUCAGGGGUGAAAUCCCGGAGCUCAACUCCGGAACUGCCUUUGAUACUGGAAAGCUUGAGUUCGGGAGAGGUGAGUGGAACUGCGAGUGUAGAGGUGAAAUUCGUAGAUAUUCGCAAGAACACCAGUGGCGAAGGCGGCUCACUGGCCCGAUACUGACGCUGAGGUGCGAAAGCGUGGGGAGCAAACA
rnacentral:rRNA from 1 species